UUAAAUUGAAGUUCAAGUGAGGGCUAUUCCCCUAACUCUUUUCACAUUUCUAUGUAGGUCUACUUGAAUACCCAGAUUAUAUAUGUUAACAAAUUCUUCCAUCUUCUUCUCAUUCCCCCUAACAUAUUCUCUACCCCCUUUCCCCUUUUCCUUUUUCUUAUCGUAUCUUCAAAACAUAGCAAAAUUAUUUAUAGGCCUUCUGUCUUAAUUGGUCACCUCCAUGACUCUAUGACAUUAAGUUUCUUAAAGUAAAAGAGAAAGAGUAGAUUCAAUGAUGGGUUAUUUAUAAAUAAAACAAACUCUAAACUUGGAGAGGGAAAAGUUAAAAUAAGGUUAAAAGGAACAAAAGACUAAGAACUUGAAAUAAACAGGGAACAAAGAGUAUAGAGAAGAAAAAGUAGCAGAAUAAUAUGGAAAAAAUAAUUUCUUAUCAGAAUUGUGAAUGUGAAUGGGAUGAACUCACCCCUGAAAUGGAAGAGAGUAGUGAAAUGGAUUUGAAGAGGUUUACAAGCCCCUUGGAGGAUUUGCGAUGUUGUCCAAAGAGUUCACGCUAAAUAUUCCUUAAUGGUCUCUUAAGAAAUAUUCUACCUUUGGAAUGACACGAUUGUUGAACAAUACCAGAAGCUCUGCAGUCAUCUACUCGUUUCUAUUCCAGUGCAAUAUACUGGCAUUCUGGUCUUAUUUUUCCUUGCAAAACCCUGGGAUUUGGGGCUAGGUGAAUUGUACGUGAAGUUGCACAGUAGAAUCCAAUAAUCCUUAAAAUCCUUGAACACAGGGCUUUGGCGAUGCCUUUUGUUAAGUACUGUUUCAAAAAAAGACAAGUCUCAAUGGCAUUAAACAGUUGUUCUGGUAGGUAA